AUACGGAGGGGGCAAGCGUUGCUCGGAAUUACUGGGCGUAAAGGGCACGUAGGCGGACCGACUAGUCAGGCGUGAAAGCCCCGGGCUCAACCUGGGAACUGCGCUUGAAACUGUCGGUCUAGAGUCCCGGAGAGGGUAGCGGAAUUCCCAGUGUAGCGGUGAAAUGCGUAGAUACUGGGAGGAACACCAGUGGCGAAGGCGGCUACCUGGACGGGUACUGACGCUGAGGCGCGAAAGCGUGGGGAGCAAACAGGAUUAGAAACCCCAGUAGUCC
rnacentral:rRNA from 1 species